rnacentral:lncRNA from 1 species
UUUUGUUUUUAUUUGUAUCGUAUGUUACAUAUACAUGUAGGGAGAGGGGUAUUGAUUGUCUCGAGAGUUACGUGAGUUUCUAUUACUCGUAGUAUUGUUCGUGUUCUAUUCGUGAUCGAAAAGUUAUAACCACCUGUGUCACACCGAGCUAUCUACUACUGCAGAUCAUUUCAUUUAACGUUGGAGAAGAAACCUUUGAGUUGAGGGAAUAUACAACCGAGAGAGAGAGAUAGAGAGAGAAAGAAAAUUUCGUUGUAAAUAAAAUGGAUUCAUUCUUAUAUUCUAUAGUUUCACAAUGGACUCUGCCACGAGUAAACUGACAAAAGUUCAUUAAGUAAAUGAAAUUAAAUCGAUCGAAGGAAGGAAUCGACAUUUACAUAUUUCUCAUUAUUAUUAUUAUUAUUAUUAUUAUUAUUAUUAUUAUUAUUAUUAUUAUUAUUAUUAUUAUACAAAGUAAUAAGUAUAAUUAUCUUUUAUGAAUGAAUUGUACGGAAGAAUACACAUCGUCAUUAUUUUUAAUCAUAUUUCCAAUCCCCGUAAAUGUCAACGAACAAAUCAUACUUAACGUUUUAAACAAAGUUUAAAAUUAAUUUUCAUUCAACCGGUAAUACAUAAUAUCAAUUGCAAUAAUAUUAGAUUUUACUAACAAUGAUUAGAUUGGAUAAAUCAUUUGAAAAAAAACGAUCAUUUCUAAACGAAAUUCAUAUUCAAAUUUUCUACGUAAAAUUUUAAAUUCGAAACUAUCGAUGAUAGAAAUUUUCGAAGAAAAAUACGUAACGAAGAUCUCGAUUUUUUCUAAAACACACACACACACACACCUAAUAACGCUGGUAAGGGGUCGAAAGUAAAUGGGGUAGAAUAAUAAUGAGAGAGAGAGAGAGAGAGGGUUAAUAAAAUGUUGCGUUGAUGAUAGUAUCAUCUAGGUUGAUGUUAGCAUAACGUUGUUCUUAUCUGAUACGUUAUAAAUGAUCGAACUGACUAUGUGUACGUAUAUAUGUAUGUAAUCUGUAUAAUUAAACGUAGUAACACGCGUUGCAUGUGCUUUUAAACAUCGCAUAUAUAUAUUAUUAUUAUUAUUAUUAUUAUUAUAUUCUUUUUUUUUCUUAAAGGUCAGGGUGGCUUAAAAUACGUUGAACAAUAAACUGCUAACUUACACGACGACGGUCACGGAAUUUCACUCUAGCGGGUUUCUAUUCACAGAACGUUAGUAAAAUAGA